rnacentral:antisense_RNA from 1 species
CGCUGGUGCCGUGCUGAGAGCGGCUGCCUAUGCCCCCCGAGCGGGGCUGGAACUCUUCCAAGACGCCCACGUUCGCACAGAGACCCCGGAUCGCGGAAGCUCGCGUCUCGAAAGGCCUCCCCUCCAGCGUGGGGAGGCCUAAGUACCUCAAGGUUCAGGCCCACGGAAGGAAUCGGAGGAGCGAGGCCCGGUGCUCUACGUGUGAAGGAGCUUGAACAGGACCCCACAAACGCCAGGGAGACGGUGAGGGGGUUCGUGCGUUUGUAACGUCUUGACAUCGCUGAUCCUCCCGCAGGCGGUCUCACGCCCUGCCCGUCCUGGGUUCACGGUUUUUCAUCACCUGCGGCUGUCCUGCGAUCGACCACAGCUGUGCAGGAGGUAUCUGUUGCUGCAGUUACCGGAACCUUUGCCAGGACUAGUACAGGACCACGAGCUGGUAGCUCAGGGAUGUCUUGUCUGUGAGUUACAGCUGCACACUCUCCAGGAAAAAAGGAAUUUCCUCUUCUCUGGACACCCCACCACACAGCUGGUUUCUCAUUGGUGCUGCUUGCCCAUUCCCUGAGCUGUGACUGCCAGAGGAGUGGGAGGUUGGUGGUGCCUCCAGCCCAUCGGGGCAGGCCCUGGGACUGCCUGGGAACAGGACUAUGGCACAAACCGAGUUAGUGAUGGGAGCAACCCACAGUGCUCUGCCGCAUCCGUGUCUUCCUUCACUCACAUGAAAUGCAGAAAAGGCAGCUUUGCCACAGCACAGCAGCACGCACAGAAUGUGGCCGCCCAGGGCUCUGUCCUUGACCCCUGUUGUCCAGGACUGUUUACCAAGGGCUGACAGGCACUGAGUGCCCCGUGCACAUAGCCAGACACUGCACUCGUGCAGCGGAAAGGACAGUGAACGAGACUUGGUCCCUGGCUUCCAAAGGCUUAGGGCGUAGUGGCUGUCAUGAGGCACAGUGACGAGGGCCAGGAGGGGGACCUCUUAGGGGGCCAUGCAGUGAUGGAAGCCAGAAAGAAUGAAGGCCUGCAGUGAGGAUGGAGUGGUCCGCCUGAAAACAUCUCUAGCAAAUGGCCAGGACGCUGAUUGUUCUGUGCAGGUAGAAGGUAGGUGGUGAGUCUGAGAAAGGGGCCAGAAAGACUCCCCAGCAACUGCUGGCAAAGGGUGAAGGGCACGUUCCCACAGGAUGCAAGCCAGGGGAGAUGGGCACUCAGUUUAGACGUUCCUACAGCAGGGUCAGCAAGACAAGCAGGUUGCGGCAGGGGUCUGUGCACUGCUGUGUAAAUGUAGGGGGCAUCAGGAGGUAGACAGCAGCUGAUAACCAGUGUCUCAAGAGCCUUCCUAGGGCAGAAAGACCAGGGGAGAGGUGUGCAUCACCCUUGGAGUUAAGGGACAGUUGUCUGUUAGGUGUUCCUUCCUGGAGAUGGCUGAAAAGCCAGUCCAGUCUGCAGGGACCAGGCCACCACCCACCUGAUGUGGGAGCAUUUCCCCCAAUCCCUGCUGGGCUGCUGAAUCUGGGGGACAUAGGGAAGCUGAGGCUGGCGUUCUGAGUGGUGACAGAGCUGAGCCACAGGGGAUGUCUGAGGUCAGCCCUGAGCAGAGUGGAGUAGGGACUCAGGGUGGGUCAGGGAACUGGAAAGCGGGCACUGUGCACGCAGCCCUUGAGAGGAGCCAGGGUGGGGAUCCCCCACCGUGUGCAGAAGGCAGCAGCCUUGGAAGCAGGGUGCGCUCCGUGGUGUGCUCGCUCGAUACCAGAAAAUGACUCUAAAAACUAAAGAGUGUUUGAGUUUCAUUCACACAAAACAUGGACGUCAUCUGUGAGGCUCUGUCCCAGAGAGACCGGGCCAUCCUCAUGUCUGUUAUUGGGAU